CCGUUACCCAUUUCAUUUGGCCAUUUCAAUCGUCCAGCAGACGAGCACUCAGGCAGCAACUAGCAAGCAAGAAUUUGAAUUUCCCCCAAAUUGUCAAACCCUUUUCUUCAACCUCAUUUCUUUUUUUCUCCAAAUUCACACCACACGACACGACCUAGCUCCAGACUCCAGGAGGUAGAUCGAAUAAACAACAGACUCCAUCAAAGCAUUUGCCGCUGCCCACUGGCUACAGUGAACGUCGAAGUGCCGACUGUCGAGUGCCCAAUGCCCAAACCUCAACCGCCGACUAGAACAGUGAACUCCAUUAGACAUUUAGACUUGUGACUCUUUCUUUCCCUUUUUAUUAUUAUUAUUAUUAUUAUUAUUAUUAUUAUUAUUAUUAUUAUUAUUUUGGUUUUGGAUACACACCCUCGUUGAUUUCCAUUUUUUAGAAUUUUUACAAAUCUGCUGAUCAAUUUAUCUGCCAUUUUAUCGUCGCUGCUUCUUCAAUCUAGGUAAUCUCUUUGUAUAUGCAUAUUUAUGUACGUAUAUAGAACAAUAUGUAUAUUCAAGUGAUUUUUGAGGGCAUUGAACUUUGAAUCUGUUUUAGGAGUAAGCGAUUUAUGAUUGGAAUUCAUAGUUUGAAGUACGGUAGUAAUUAAUGCAUUCCUGUGAAGUGAGAUAUUUUACUGGAUUUGUUUUUUAAAUCUCUUUGUUGUGGUGGUGUUCUAUUUUGUUUGGCUAUUUUGAUUUUGUUCUAUCUUGGUUCUUG
rnacentral:lncRNA from 1 species